rnacentral:rRNA from 1 species
AUUGUACGCUGGCGGCAGGCCUAACACAUGCAAGUCGAACGGUAGCACAGAGAGCUUGCUCUCGGGUGACGAGUGGCGGACGGGUGAGUAACGUCUGGGAAACUGCCCGAUGGAGGGGGAUAACUACUGGAAACGGUAGCUAAUACCGCAUAACGUCGCAAGACCAAAGUGGGGGACCUUCGGGCCUCACACCAUCGGAUGUGCCCAGAUGGGAUUAGCUAGUAGGUGGGGUAAUGGCUCACCUAGGCGACGAUCCCUAGCUGGUCUGAGAGGAUGACCAGCCACACUAGAACUGAGACACGGUCCAGACUCCUACGGGAGGCAGCAGUGGGGAAUAUUGCACAAUGGGCGCAAGCCUGAUGCAGCCAGGCCGCGUGUAUGAAGAAGGCCUUCGGGUUGUAAAGUACUUUCAGCGGGGAGGAAGGCGGUGAAGUUAACAGCUUCACCGAUUGACGUUACCCGCAGAAGAAGCACCGGCUAACUCCGUGCCAGCAGCCGCGGUAA